CUCGCUGUCUCUGCCGCCAUAGCUACCACAGACACGGCUACCAUUUAUGGCUCUGCCCGCGUCUUACACCGAGCUCUUUAUCCAUGUUAUUUCAGGGUUUUUUUGGCCGCAGUUCUCAAAGUGUAGUGGUACCAGAGAAAUGAACGAAUACAGAUGAGCAUCUUUUAAAAUAUUUGAGAUUUAUGUAUUUAUUUUAAUGUGGGAAAAGAAAGGAGUACACCAAACGUCAUUUCAGAUACUUUUGCUCAGAAUUAGGGUAAGUGCUAAAGGCAGUUGAAACACCUGCAGGAUCCAGCAUCUGAAGUAAGUUACGGGGUCUGAGUGACCGAAAGACCACACACUGUUGGAGGUCUCAGGAACUCUGGACAGUCCCUGGAGCCCUGAGAACGCCGUGUUGUGAUGAAGCCCAUCUAGCCCGUGGGAGAAUGAGACUCUCGUAGAGAAGAAGUGAGGAGCCCCAGCUGCCGGACAUGACAAUGAGACCCUCUUAGAUCUUGUGGCCCAACUAGGACAUCCGAUGAGAUACGCUAAGAAACCUCCCAAUGCAUGGAAUGGCAAAAAAUAAUAAAUUGUAGUGGUUUGGGCCACUAAUUUUUGGAAUGG